GGCUGGUUGGCGCAACGGUAGCGCGUUCGACUCCAGUUGCCUUUAUCGUGACCUCGGGGUUUCGAAGAGGAAGUUGGCAUCGAAAGGCUAGGUGUUCAAAUCACCUACUGGUCA